rnacentral:rRNA from 1 species
CCUACGGGAGGCAGCAGUAGGGAAUCUUUCACAAUGGGCGAAAGCCUGAUGGAGCAACGCCGCGUGCAGGAUGAAGGCCUUCGGGUUGUACACUGCUUUUAUCAGCGAGAAAUAUGAUGGUAACUUAUGAAUAAGGAUCGGCUAACUACGUGCCAGCAGCCGCGGUCAUACGUAGGAUCCGAGCAUUAUCCGGGGUGACUGGGUGUAAAGAGUUGCGUAGGUGGGAUAAUAAGUAGCUAGUAAAAUCUGGUGGCUCAACCAUUCAGACUAUUAGCUAAACUGUUAAGCUCGAGACCGUUAGGGGUAACUGGAAUUUCUAGUGUAGGAGUGAAAUGCGUAGAUAUUAGAAGGAACACCAAGAGCGUAGGCAGGUUACUGGGACGGUUCUGACACUAAGGCACGAAAGCGUAGGGAGCAAACGGGAUUAGAUACCCUUGUAGUC